CGGACCCUGUCGCACCACGAGGCGC
rnacentral:ncRNA from 2 species